rnacentral:rRNA from 1 species
GACGAACGCUGGCGGCGUGCUUAACACAUGCAAGUCGAACGGUAAGGCCCUUCGGGUACGACGAGUGGCGAACGGGUGAGUAACACGUGGGUGAUCUGCCCUGCACUUCGGGAUAAGCUUGGGAAACUGGGUCUAAUACCGGAUAGGACCACGGUCUGCAUGGAUUGUGGUGGAAAGCUUUUGCGGUGUGGGAUGGGCCCGCGGCCUAUCAGCUUGUUGGUGGGGUGAUGGCCUACCAAGGCGACGACGGGUAGCCGGCCUGAGAGGGUGUCCGGCCACACUGGGACUGAGAUACGGCCCAGACUCCUACGGGAGGCAGCAGUGGGGAAUAUUGCGCAAUGGGGGAAACCCUGACGCAGCCAUGCCGCGUGAAUGAUGAAGGUCUUAGGAUUGUAAAGCUCUUUCAGACGGAAAGAAAUCGCAUCUUCUAAUACAGGGUGUGGAUGACGGUACCGUAAGAAGAAGCACCGGCUAACUACGUGCCAGCAGCCGCGGUAAGGUGACG